rnacentral:lncRNA from 1 species
UGUUUUUAAUUGAAUACUAAUGUCUUAAUUAUACUUUCAUGCACUAUUUUUAAGUCUUAUUGACAGUUUCUCCUUUUGCUCUUUCUCCUGCCACCGUGUAAGAUGUGCCUUGCUUCCCCUUUGCCUUCUGCCAUGAUUGUAAAUUUCCUGAGGCCACCCCACCCAUUCUUAAUUCUAAUGGGUUAACGUCAAUUUGUCUGUUCUAAAAUUUUAAGUCACAGUGGGUAUUGGUUGCCAUUUCCCCCUUGGCCCAUACAUCAGAUCUGUUUCCUCUGUUCUCCUAAGCUUCUGAUUCACAUUCUUCCUCUACACUCUAUCAUCUGGUUUUAUACUUAAAAAGUCACCAUCCUUAGACUCCUUGACAUUUUGAAACUCCUGAAUGCCAGAUGUUAUGUGAAACUCUGGAGAAAUAGUAGCAAGCAAGACUCACAUGCCUCCUGCCCUCACAGAGCUCCAUGAUCUGGUGAAAGUGCCAGAUAUUUAAACCCAUGGAUGUGUGCACACAAAAUAACAAUUCUCUCAAGCGUUGUGAAGAAAAGUCACAGAGCACUACAAAA